rnacentral:rRNA from 1 species
CAUGCGCGGCUACCAUGCAGUCGAACGGUGAAAGAGAGCUUGCUCUCUGGAUCAUGGCGAACGGGUGAGUAACACGUGAGCAAUCUGCCCCUGACUCUGGGAUAAGCGCUGGAAACGGCGUCUAAUACCGGAUACGAGCUGCGAAGGCAUCUUCAGCAGCUGGAAAGAACUUCGGUCAGGGAUGAGCUCGCGGCCUAUCACCUAGUUGGUGAGGUAAUGGCUCACCAAGGCGUCGACGGGUAGCCGGCCUGAGAGGGUGACCGGCCACACUGGGACUGAGACGCGGCCCAUACUCCUACGGGAGGCAGCAGUGGGGAAUAUUGCACAAUGGGCGCAAGCCUGAUGCAGCAACGCCGCGUGAGGGACGACGGCCUUCGGGUUGUAAACCUCUUUUAGCAGGGAAGAAGCGAAAGUGACGGUACCUGCAGAAAAAGCACCGGCUAACUACGUGCCAGCAGCCGCGGUAAUACGUAGGGUGCAAGCGUUAUCCGGAAUUAUUGGGCGUAAAGAGCUCGUAGGCGGUUUGUCGCGUCUGCUGUGAAAACUGGGGGCUCAACCCCCAGCCUGCAGUGGGUACGGGCAGACUAGAGUGCGGUAGGGGAGAUUGGAAUUCCUGGUGUAGCGGUGGAAUGCGCAGAUAUCAGGAGGAACACCGAUGGCGAAGGCAGAUCUCUGGGCCGUAACUGACGCUGAGGAGCGAAAGGGUGGGGAGCAAACAGGCUUAGAUACCCUGGUAGUCCACCCCGUAAACGUUGGGAACUAGUUGUGGGGUCCAUUCCACGGAUUCCGUGACGCAGCUAACGCAUUAAGUUCCCCGCCUGGGGAGUACGGCCGCAAGGCUAAAACUCAA